GGGCGAUUAGCUCAGCCUUGGUUAGAGCGUCUGCGUGACAUGCAGAAGGUCACCCGUUCAAGUCGGGUAUCGCCCA
rnacentral:tRNA from 1 species